GACCUUGUGGCCUAAUGGACAAAGCGUCGGCCUCCGGAGCCGAAGAUUAUAGGUUCGAAUCCCAUCAAGGUCG
rnacentral:tRNA from 1 species